GAGGGGCAUUAGGACCCCUGCUUCUGUCCUUCCUCCCGCAGGGAGAGCCUAAGCUUAAAAUCUGGGGCUGCUUCUCGAGUCCAGGACCCGGAGGGGGGGAAGCUGGGCUGGGUUUGGGGGCCCAGGUGGAGUCGGGACAAGGAGGGAGAAAGUUGGGGCUGAGUUGGGGGACCAGAGAGAGAAAGUGGGGGCGGACCGGCUCCGGGGGCACAUGACGGCGGCGCCCGCCCCGCCCCGCGCCCGCCCCCUGUCCGGCCCGGGGGGGAGGAGACGGGAAGGUUUUAAAAGCGAUUCGGCCCCGCGGCGGGCCGGCCAGUGAGUGGGAUGGAGCCGGGCCCGCGACCGACCCCGGCCCGUCUCGGGUCCGCCGCCCGCCCGCGUCUCUGCCGCCGGGCCCGGGGCGGCGGCCGGAGCCCUGAGUGCCGGCUCCCCUCCCCCGCGGGUGAGUCGGGGAGGGAACCGGGAGGGAAGGCGGCGGCGCCGCGGCGACGGCGGCAACUUUUCUGCGCCGGACUCGUGGGCGGAGUGGGGGGGUGCGCCCGGCGGGUCCCCAGCGCUUGGAGAGGGGGAGGGCGCCGCCCCGCCGCCGGUGGCUCUGUGUGUGUGUGGGGGGGGGUGCAGCGGGGAUCGUGCAUCUGGCGGCGGCGGUGGCGGCAGAGUCCCGGGGCGCCCCCUACGGAGCGGGGGAAGGGCAGCCCAACAUUUACCCCCUCCCCAGGAGACCCCUGGCCAGUCCCCCCACCGGAGACCCUUGAGAGCGUGGUGGGGAGGGCGGGUCCCAUAGUCACGGGGGCAGGUCCAGGUGGGCCGGGAGUCAGCGGCAGGGUGGGAAGGGGGAGGGCAUAUGCCCGGGCUGGGGUGGGGAGGGAUGGAUACACACGGGUACCUGGGAUCCUAGGGUGCCUCUCAGGGCUUUGGUGGGGAUGGGGCUGGAGGAGUGGGUGGGUGGGGGUCUCCCAGAGUUCCGAGGAUGGCGGGUGACACGGUGGUUCAAGUUCUUGACAUGUCGGCCAACGAGUGGAGGGAAGGCCUUCCAUUGAGCAGAUGGGCUUGGGGGCCCCAAGGUGUAGCCCCAGCUUGGUGGAGAUUGGGGCACCCCUCCCCUCCCUCUUGGCUCCUCCGGGCCCAGGAGAGAGGAGCUCAUUCAAGGUUGCUUAGGAAGGGGGCCAGGUGUGGGAGAUUCGUGGAGGGAUGACUCCCCAGUCCCGUGCCCCGCGAGCGGCCCGCAGUCCUCAUGCCCUUGGGCUGCAGGCCCCUGACUAAAACCUGAACCUUGUAUUCUAGCCCCACACUGACCUCUGACCCCAGCACUGGACUUGACUGCCACCAGAGCCCCCAGCCCUACACUGACUUGCCUAUUCAGCCCAGCCAGGCCCAGCCAGACCCAGUGGCCUCCCGAAUGCCUUGAAGGUGCCAACCUCCGGUCCCACCCGGUGCCCUCCAACCCCUGUGCCAUGGCCGGCUGGGGUUCCUGGGGAUGGGAUUUGCUGCCUGUCACAAAUCACAUUGCCAGGGAUUUCCAACCGACCCUGAGCCCUGCCUCUGGGGCUGCCGCCACCGCCUUCGCUGCUGAGGACGCUGCCCGGGGAUAGGGCCGGGGAUGGGAGGCCGAGAGGCCCCCCUCCCCCUGCUGCCUGCGUCUGGCCUGGGGAGCAGGGCUUAGCUGCUUGUGAGCAGAGUCCACACCAAGUCGUGUUCACAGUGGCUAAGUUCCGCCCCCCGGGACCCCGCCUCCUCUGGCCCUGCUGCCUGCCUGUCCCACUGUCCGGGCCUCCCUGGGCUCUGCCUCCCGUGCCUACUGAGCUGAAACACAGUUGAUUUGUGCAGACUGGCUCAGUUCAGCAGGAACAGGAGUCGAGCCCCCUCGAAGCCUGUGCAGCCUGCCUUCCUUGGGUGGGCUGAUUCCUAGGGGAAAAGCUGAGGACCCAGACCCAGACCUGUGUUGGGCGGAGGGACUUGGGGGAGGGGCAAUAUAGCCUGGAAUGGGGUGGGUGGACCCAGCUGUCUGCCGUAGGCGCCCUCCCCCAACUCUGUACUUGGGGGUCCUGCCCCCUGCACGGUCCUACUUCCGGGUGAGGCUGGGCAGAACUCCUAGGGAGAAUGGGCAGGUGGGUGAGUGGCCCUCCCACUAGAAAGGGAAGCCGUCUGGGUCCCUAUCCCCUCCCAGUAACCCUCCCAGCCUGGAGCCUUGGCCUUUUCUCUCCCAGGACUGGUGGGACGUGGGCCAGGCCUGUACCUUCCCAGCAGCCAGUUACUCAAGAGGAAGCUGCCCUGGGCCCCCAGACCGUUAAAUGCCAACUCCGGCUUCCGGAACCAGGCUGGCCUGACCUGAGUGUGCCUGGCCUCUUCUCCCUGAACCCUGCAGCGUCCUAACUUUGGGGGUGUGGGGAGAGCUGUGACACUCUCUGGGCACGUGGAGCAGGGAGCAAGGUCCCUUGUGGGCCCAGAAAGGACACAGAUGGGCCUGUUGAGUCCACCGGUGGCCCUGCAGUGCACCUGCUACUAUAAGACCUGAGACUGUCCAGUGUCAGAUGGGAUGGACUCUGCGACCAGGCAGAGAGAAGCCCCCUAGGCUGUCAGGGCUGGCCCAGGGUACCCUUUCACCCAGGGAUAGGGGCAUACUUCAGCUCGGGGCAGGGUCUGUGCUGUGUGUUGCUGCUGUCCAAUUAAAUAAAACCUGCCUCCUACCUCA